rnacentral:rRNA from 1 species
UUGGGAAUCUUCCGCAAUGGGCGAAAGCCUGACGGAGCAACGCCGCGUGAGUGAUGAAGGUCUUAGGAUCGUAAAACUCUGUUAUUAGGGAAGAACAAACGUGUAAGUAACUGUGCACGUCUUGACGGUACCUAAUCAGAAAGCCACGGCUAACUACGUGCCAGCAGCCGCGGUAAUACGUAGGUGGCAAGCGUUAUCAGGAAUUAUUGGGCGUAAAGCGCGCGUAGGCGGUUUUUUAAGUCUGAUGUGAAAGCCCACGGCUCAACCGUGGAGGGUCAUUGGAAACUGGAAAACUUGAGUGCAGAAGAGGAAAGUGGAAUUCCAUGUGUAGCGGUGAAAUGCGCAGAGAUAUGGAGGAACACCAGUGGCGAAGGCGACUUUCUGGUCUGUAACUGACGCUGAUGUGCGAAAGCGUGGGGAUCAAACA